rnacentral:rRNA from 1 species
AGUGAACGCUGGCGGUAGGCCUAACACAUGCAAGUCGAACGGCAGCACAGAGGAGCUUGCUCCUUGGGUGGCGAGUGGCGGACGGGUGCGGAAUACAUCGGAAUCUACUCUGUCGUGGGGGAUAACGUAGGGAAACUUACGCUAAUACCGCAUACGACCUACGGGUGAAAGCAGGGGACAUUCGGGCCUUGCGCGAUUGAAUGAGCCGAUGUCGGAUUAGCUAGUUGGCGGGGUAAAGGCCCACCAAGGCGACGAUCCGUAGCUGGUCUGAGAGGAUGAUCAGACACACUGGAACUGAGACAGGGUACAACCUCACACGGGAGGCAGCAAUGGGGAAUAUUGGGCCAUGGGCGCAAGCCUGAUCCAGCCAUACCGCGAGGGUGAAGAAGGCCUUCGGGUUGUAAAGCCCUUUUGUUGGGAAAGAUAUCCAGCUGGCUAAUACCCGGUUGGGAUGACGGUACCCAAAUAAUAAGCACCGGCUAACUUCGUGCCAGCCGCCGCGGUAA